GGUGUGGUUUGUUAGACUGUCGCUAGUGGCUUACAUGAGUUGGCAUGGGCUCGUGCCUUUGCCAUGCCAACCUCGAACGAGCAAGAGCAUAACUGGGACUCCACCACAGCAAGGCACCAUCAAUUGGUCCGAUGUGCGGAUGGCCAGACGAGAUAAAAUAUGUGUGGACAUUGACAAAGGCGCAUGAAAAAGUGAGCACGAG
rnacentral:lncRNA from 1 species